GUGCUCACUUUGGCAGCACAUCUACUAAAAUUGGAAUGAUACAGAGAAGAUUAGCAUGGCCCCUGCACAAGGAUGACACGCAAAAAGUGUAAAGAGUCACAUGUGGCU